CAAAACUUGAAGAAAUGCAUCAUAGCGGCAAAUUAAGCCACACAUAUAUAUAAUAAUAGUUAUACAUUGCAGCAGCAGAAGAAAAAAAUCUAUUUUGGGUAUUUUCGAACGAGCUAUUUUGAUCCAGAAAAAAGACAAUCUUUUGGUUGAAAGGUGUGGGAAGGGAUGCCUAUUGAAAGGGUUGAGCAAUUGGAUUACAUGGCAGAUGACCGGGAGGGGACUGAUUCAUGUGAUGAAUUUGAGGGGGACUUCGAUAAUGAGGAGAUAAACCUUGAUGACGAUGAUAUGCCAACAAAAGUGACUGAUACAUCAGCUGCACAAGCAAGAAAAGGGAAGGAUAUACAAGGUAUCACAUGGGAGGGAUUGAAUGUAACCAGGCAAAGCUACAGAUUGACGAGGCUCGAACAGUACAGAAACUAUGAGAACAUCCCUUUGUCAGGAGAAGCUGUGGAUAAGGUAUGCGAACAAGUGGAGAAGGGUGGUAACUACUACGAAUUCUUUUACAAUGCAAGAUCCGUAAAGCCUACGAUACUCCAUUUUCAGCUAAGAAACUUGGUCUGGGCAACUUCAAAACAUGAUGUGUAUUUGAUUUCAAAUGAUUCUCUUAUGCAUUGGUCAUCAAUUUCCCGCAACCUAUCAGAAGUUCUCAACUUCUCUGGACGUAUAGUACCGACAGAGAAAUAUGCAGGAAAUUUGUUAGAGGGUCUGACACUGACCCAAAUCAGCACAAUGGCGGUGAAGAACCGUUUUGUGGUUGCUGGAGGCUUCCAAGGAGAGCUCAUUUGUAAGAGUUUGGACAAGCCAGGGGUUAGCUUCUGUGCGAGGACCACUUAUGAGGAUAAUGCUAUCACAAAUGCCGUUGAGAUAUAUGAAAGCGUCAGUUGUGGGCCUCGUUUUAUGGCAGCCAACAACGACUGUGGUGUGAGGGUGUAUGACAUGGAGAAGUUUCAGCAGAUGAACCACUUCCGCUUCCCUUGGCCAGUGAAUGUCAGUUUUUUACGUGCUUUUGCUGCAAAUUUUUGUUCUCUUCUCUUUGCCUUUUUUUUUUGAACCUGGUAAAUCUGUAAUAUAUCACAAAACAAUAUAUGUGUUGUAUUGAAACCUUAUAUACAAAUGUACUCCCAAUUUCACUUCUCUAUGACUAGAUUGAGCUAGGACAUCAAUAAUAAAGAUUGUAUCAUUUGAGUAUAGCUGGUUACACCAAAAAACUAGAAAAAGGCAUCAGUUCAGUUUAACUUUCUGCAUACUGUUCACUAAGCUCUCAAACCAUCUUGAAUUCCUCUCUUUCCAAAUAGCCCACCAUAUAACACUUCUUUGCUUUUUUUGAUUUCCUAUCAUUAGUUACUGAGUAGUUUUGGUUGUCCGUGAAGUAUAAUAUACUUGCUUUUUCAUACAAGAGAACUGGCAGGUUGUGGAGAAGUUCCAAACUGGUCAUUGUCAUUAUUCUCCUCCUCAUCAUCAACAUUCUCAUGUAUUGGGUGUUAGUGGGAUAGAAUGGUUUCAUGAAUUUCUAGUGUAAGUUCUUUCUUUAAUCAAAUGAAAUUCUAAUAUGAGGCUUUAGAUGGACUGUAGUUUUCUGAUUUAAAUUGAGGCUGGAAGUGGUUAUUUAAUAAUUCUUUCUUGUACGACCUUGUAUUAUGACAUCCCAACAAGGGGCUUUUAGUAUCUGAGUGACCUCAAUGGGUUUUAUACAUUCAGGUUGAGUUUGGUGGUAGAUUAGAUAGGCUAGAUGAAGGCCAAGCGUUUGAAGAUAAAUCCCAUCAUUCUCAUUUGUUUCAUCUUAGAGGACCAAUUUAUGGGGGGUUGAAUAUUUGAGAUUUGGCAGUGCCAUAGAGAUUUGCAAUGAGUACAAUUGCUGUGGCUGAUGGUGCAACUUCUUAUAUAGUAGAUUGCCAACAUGAUUGCCUUUUUUGCUCUGACAUUCUGGAAUACCCCUGAGAUACUCUUUUAUGCUCAAUUUCAUGUUCAUAUUCUUAACUUGUAUGCUGCUCAUGGUUGUAUUUGUUGAUCUACUAUUUAACUUCGGAACUUGUUUCUAGCGAGCAAUUAUUUUGUCGUGCUUCAAUGGGUUAUUGAAGUUUUUUCAUUUGCUUGAAGUCAGUCAUCAUCAACGCACAUAGUGGUAUGUUGUUGUUGUAGUAGUUUUUGUACUUCAUAUAAGUAGUUACAACACUUUUGGAUCUAUAUUUCCUCUUAUUUGAAGUUGAGAUCAAUCAUCAACGAGCUGCCUCUCUCUGGACUUCAUUUCUCUUUUAAGAUUUAUAAG
rnacentral:misc_RNA from 1 species